UACGGAAGGCAGCAGGGGGAAUAUUGCACAAUGGGCGCAAGCCUGAUGCAGCCAUGCCGCGUGUAUGAAAAAGGCCUUCGGGUUGUAAAGUACUUUCAGUCGUGAGGAAGGUGUUAAGGUUAAUAACCUUAGCAAUUGACGUUAGCGACAGAAGAAGCACCGGCUAACUCCGUGCCAGCAGCCGCGGUAAUACGGAGGGUGCGAGCGUUAAUCGGAAUUACUGGGCGUAAAGGGCACGCAGGCGGUUAAUUAAGUUGGAUGUGAAAUCCCCGGGCUUAACCUGGGAAUGGCAUUCAAGACUGGUUAGCUAGAGUCUUGUAGAGGGGGUUAGAAUUCCAUGUGUAGCGGUGAAAUGCGUAGAGAUGUGGAGGAAUACCGGUGGCGAAGGCGGCCCCUGGACAAAGACUGACGCUCAUGUGCGAAAGCUGGGGAGCAAACAGGGAUUAGAUACC
rnacentral:rRNA from 1 species